rnacentral:snRNA from 1 species
CUGCUUUAUUUGGCAGCACAUAACACUAAAACUAGAAUGGUACAGGGAAGAUUAGGAUGACCCCUGUGGAGGGAUGACAUGCAAAUUCCUGAAGCAUUCCUUAUUUUU